rfam:Triticum aestivum genome assembly, contig: Triticum_aestivum_CS42_TGACv1_scaffold_146951_2BS
AAACUACUCCCUCCGUUGCAAAUUAAUUGACCCCCAUUUGUCUAGAUACGGAUGUAUCUAGACACUAAACAAGUAUAGAUACAUUCGUAUCUUGACAAAUGAAAGUCAAGUAAUUUGGAACGGAGGGAGUACCAC